UGACACCAUGGUGGCACUGGCACAAGGCUCCCCCAGCUCUGAGAUCCGCACACGCCUGCCCUGGGUGUGGGACAAGCUGGAUUCUGACAGAUCCCAGGUUUGACUUGUUUGUGUUCUGGAACUGCUAAUUGCAGGGCGCUUUGGCAAGAUGCGGUCAUCUCUGGCUCCUCAGUGACCUGCCCUCAGGCUCCCUGGUGGGUCUGACAGGGGGUCAGGGGAGGGCCCCGUCUCAGGGCCUGGCCUGAUUCUCAGCUUCAGACCCGCAUGGGGCCGCCUCGCCUCUCAGAGAGACGGAAGCAAGGUGCUGGCUCCAAGGGGAAGCACCCAGCCGAGUCCCCCGCAGUCCCCUAGAGGGGCAGAGUGGGGGGCUGGGCCACCUGCCUUCCAGGGCCCUCUGUUCUCAUUCCCUGGGGGCUCUGGGAGGACGGGCAGGGUAGCAGGUGACCCCAGAGGUGCCUGCGGCCUGACUCACAGCCGUCCACCCAGGGCUGGGCUGCCGCGGUGGUGGCUCCUCGGGGACGGUCCGCCUCUCUGGUUGCCCGGCCUGCCCCGUCCAGGGUGCCCUGAGCACUCAGGGCCUCCUGCGUCACCUCACCAGUGACCUGCCUUCUUGGCUGCUCCUGAUGGUCCUGCACUGGCCCCUUCUGGGAACUUCUUCCAGGGGCUGCUGAUCCCUGGGCAUCUGUCCUACCUUCCCCUGCCACGUCCACACACCUGCACUGGGGCUGAGCCGGAGGCCAUGGGGGGCUGACCCCACCACAAGCCCCUCACCUCCUGCUGCCUGGUGUGGGAGCUGCACAGGGCCAGCACCUGCUGUCCAGGUACAGGGGGGAGGGACAGGCCAGCCAGUUUCUAUCCUGGCAGCACCUCUGGGUGUGGCUGCCUCCUGGGGACCUGCCUGGGGACUCAACCUGGAGGACCUGACCCAGGGGACAUGACCAGGGACAACCUGAUCGGGGGACCUGACCCUGGGGACGUGACCCAGAGGACCUGACCUGGGCUACGGUGCUCUUUAGCUGGAGGGGUCCCCGAGAGGGACUUGGCGGAGAGCUGCUCUGGGGGCCCCUCAGCCUCAGUCCUGUGAAUCUGGGUGUCCACCGCAGUCCCUCUGUGUGGUCUUGGUGGCUGUGUGACUUUCCCACAUUCAGCCGAUGACAACCUCAGCCAAAUGCUACGGCCUCUGGGAAAUGCCCUGAGUUUUCUUCCUGCCUCUUUGAUGGAUAUUUAUAGUUUGUGCCAUUGAUAAGGAAUACAGCCAUUUUUCGCAGACUAGCACGGUGCCCUGUGCCCCACGGGGUGACCCUGCAGACAGCAGCUCCCUCAGGACCCACAGAGAGCCCGGAGCCCUCACCGCCACCCCAGCGUUGGGAUUCUCCCCAACACGUGCCGUCCUUGUGUUCCCUGGCUCUCGAGAGCUUUCCUGCCUGUCGGGGGUGGGGUGGGGUGGGGUGAAGAUGCAGCUGUUUGUGGAUGAAAUUAAAAGAGGCCCAUUAAUAAAUCAUGUGAACCCAUUAUUCUAAAAACUACGCUGGAAAGUGAGUUGACAUAUUACAAAUGCUGUGAUUUCUAUAUUGUGAUUACUUGUCUUUUUUAAAGCAGAAUGCAUUUUAAAUAACCAGACGAAUCCUCUGAUUAACCACUGUUUGCCUAGGGACCAUGCUCACGCCCCGGGAGAGGGGCUCUCCUCCAGAGCUAAGGGGGUCACUGGAAAAGUCCCCGAUGCCCACGGUCGUGGAGGUACUUCCUGCUGCUAGACCCUCGAGCUGCCCAUUAUCCCCAAAUUCAGUGUGGGUGCAACUGAGGCUGUCCCUUUGGUGGGCUGGCCGGCUCUCAGGACGGUCACCUCUUGUGGGUCAAAUCCUGGUGAGCACUGAUUCCACCUCUGCUUCCCCAGAUCUCAGGACCUUGUUCUCUGAGAAUUGCCUGCUCCAAAGCCCCUGGCAUCGCGGGGAUCUCCUGGGAGCCUGGACCCAGGAGGGUGGAGCUGAGAAGCGGCACUUCUGCAGAUUGAAAUUGAGCAAGGCUUCGCCAUGUUCUGGGCGCGGAGAAGAUCCCAGGAAGCCAGUGGCUUGUGGAUGGGUGAGCAGAUCCUGUCUGUGCAUGGAGGAGCUCAGUCCAGCCUCCCAACAGGCAGGAGCCCUGCAGUGCACAGUGACCCGGGUGGACCUGGAGGCCCUGGCGCUCAGGGGCCUGAGCCAAGCUCAGUAAGAAGCACCACUCUACCUCCUGGGGGCAGCAGAGGGUGGGCUCUAGGAGGCAGAGCACACGGUGGCUGCCAAGGCUGGGCAGGGCCACGGCACGUUGGCCCAAGGGGCCAAGUCCACGUGGGGUGGUCGGGGUCUUACUGACUGCAGUCAGGCCGCGUGUGCCAUCUGGAGACCUCCCACAUGCACAGAUGGGGCCGUGUGGUGCCGGGUGGAUGGCUGAUCAGCUCGCGGCUAAACCAUUUCACAGCGCGUGCGCUAAGCCAUCCCAGCGCUGCCCUCGAGAAAAACGAGUUCUAUUUGUCAAUUACACCCUAAAAAAAGCUGGGGGCAGGGGCAGGCACAGUGGCACAUGCCUGUAAUCCCACUGGUUUGGGAGGCUGAGCCAGGAGGAUCACGAGUUCAAAGCCAGCCUCAGCAACUCAGCGAGUCCCUGAGCAACUCAGCGAGACUCUUUCUAAAUUAAAAAGAAAGAAAAAAGGCUGGGGAUGUUGCUCAGUGGUCGAGUGCCCCUGGAUUCAAUCUCAGGUACCAACCAAUCAGUCAAUAAACAAACAAAUAAAUAAAAGCUGGGUGGAGAAAAGUAUCCCUGGUGCAGCCUGCCCCCACCACAAGAGGCAAUCGCUCCCCUUGUGGGAGGGGUUCAGACCUCUCAGCAGGUGGCCCCAGGACCUUUCUGCAUGUGCCUGGUCCUUGGCCCUCCUGUUGCCCCAUGAGGACACAGCCGGGCACUGCCUGGGCCCGAGUCACGGUGCAGGGUCGGCCAUCAGUCUCUCCCUCCUCCUCGACUCCACAUUUGGGGAUGGAAACUCCAGCUCUUGUCCGGGUCCUGCGGUCCUGGGCUGCAAGGGUGGCUGGGAUCACAACCACAGGGUGGCAUCUGGUGCCACAGAGACCUUCAUCUUCCUCUCUGCCCAGGACCCAGGAGAGGCGUCUCAGCCCCGGGGAGGCCAAUCAGAGGCUCUCGCAGGCCCAAGCCUUGGGCGCCCAGCUCAGCCCCACAGGGGCAACCUCGUCUAGGGGCACAGGGUCCAGGGGCUCCCGCCUGCCCUCCAGAGCGCCCCGGGGAAUGUGCCUGGACAGGUAGCCUUCUCUGCACAGAGGAUAUCUGAACUCGAAGACUUGGACUUGGUCUUUGUUUGAAAGCAUGUCUUUAUUAUAGAACCCAAACCUGCUCAUGAGAGGGGGUUUUCAGAAUACCCAGGCACAAAGGCAAAGGGCAGGGUGAGCCAUCUGUAAUGCGGCUGCCCAGAGGCGACUUCUGUUAAUUUUUUUUGGUGUAUUUCCUUCCUAAAGUUGUAUCUUUUUGAGGUUGUUGUGUAGAAAACAUGGCAACCAAGUCCCAGGCCCAAUCCUGCUCUUAAAAUAGAAAGCAGGCUCCUAAUCAGGAGUCUUUUCGCCAGGAGAGGCGAUACGUCUUAGCCAGGUUUGCGAGAGGAUGGUGUCUUCUCCCCCUUCCUUCUCGCGGCACAUUAAAUCAUGGAUGAAUACAAAUGAGUUCCUCAAUUAGAAUAAAAUACCAAGACGGUCCAGUGUGCUGCGUGGCCAUGGAGAGUUCAGCUGAUGGGGGAACCAGCAGGAGGAGCUGACGGGGCGCCCAGGGGGAGCCUGCUGGGCCCGGCCGCAGUCUGUGGGGAUGCGGCUGCUCCUCGGGAGCCCCCUGGAGGAGGUGGGUUAACUACUGAGGUCGGCCCAGCGCACACCCCGUGUGCACCCGCCAGGAGCCAGCCUGCACCGGCUUCUGGAACACUUCAGCAUGGGGCAGGACACCCCGGGCAGGCACUUAUGAGUUUAAUUCUGAGAUCAGUUCUCAGUGGUGAGGUGAGUGCGUUCCCCCCUAGGAGGGGCUCCGCCUGCUCCGAGGCCUCCAGGUCCCCUUCGCAGAUCUUCCUGGUCACCUCCCAUCAUGCAUCCAAGGAACCCUCACCUGGAGAGAGUUGCUGUGUCCAUGCCUGCCCCUGGCCGAUCUCAGCACCACCCCUGUGAGGCCACACUUGCUGUGAAGUCUUCAGAAGCACCAGGGCUCCUGGGCAGAAGGCAAAGUCAUAGCUGGGGUCACUGGCAGCUUCGACUAAUGACGACUUCUGAGGAGCCCUCGUUCAUCCCAGCUGGCUGCCGCAGGGCUGCGGUGGCUUUGCAAACAGGACUCUGGCCAUGUACGAUUUUAGUUAAUCCCAGACUUACUGAAUAUGCAGAAUCCCCAGGUAGUGUGCAAGGUCAAGAAAAACUUGGGUGUAACUGGUUCAGGGGAAGAGAAGAGGAUGUGAACACAGAUUCCGUCACUAAAGGACAACACUCUGCCUAAGCUUGAGACCUGAGCUGGUGGUGGUCGGUGUAGUUGGACUUGGCCAGCCAAAGUGGUGGUCACUGAGUGGACCAAGGUGGAGGACAGUGUGUGCUACUGAAAGUGGGUCAGCAGAGUGGGGAGGUGGAACAGGGGGCUGGUGGGCAGCUCAGCCUGGUGUUGAGGGUGUGGGGUGUGCCGGCUCCCAUCCAGUCAGUCCAAGCCACACGGGUAUGCAGCUGGAGAUGAUGCAGUGUGCUCUGGCUGGCACCAGGAACUGGUGGCCUCCCCUUCCACUGAAGCCACUGGAAGAGUUUUAUGUGGUUCCCUGGUCAAAACGAGACUCAGACAGGACCAUCAUUUAGCUGUAAUGACCACAUCAGACACAGUUUACACUAACAUAUCCAACAAUAAAUCCAUUUACAAUAGCAUCUUGAACAAGAAAUACUCAAGAAUGUGUGGAGACAUUCAUGCUGACGACCGUAAUGCACAGUGAGAGAAACUCAAGGAAGGCGAGAUAGGUGGAGGGUAUACAAUGUUCAUGGAUCCAAAGACUCAACUGUAAGAUUUCAGUUCUACCCAAGUGGUCUGUAGAGUCAACAGAAUCCCCUCAAAUCCCAGAAGCCUUUUUGGAGAAAUGACAAGCUGAUUCUAAGAUUUAUUUAGAAAUGCAUAGGAUCUAAAAUAGAGAAGAUAAUUUCCAAAAGAAAUAUCAGAGCUGGAGGAUUUACACUAACUUAUUUUAAGAUUUAUUAUGAAUAAAUCAACAAGACAAUGUGAAAUUGGUGCAAGGAGAAAUAGAUGAUGGAAUAGAAUGGAGAAUCUGUAAUUAGGCCUAAAACUGGUAUCGGCAUGGGAAGAAAAUGAAUUUCAAUUUUAUUCCAUACUACACUAAAACAGUGAUUGAAAAGAGAUCAUAGAUCUCUGUGGAGAUACUAAAGCAACAACAUUCUCCCCAAAAUAUGUAAAAAAGACUUUGUGACCCUGGAAUAGGCAAAAAUUUCUUAGAUAAAACACAAAAAGCAAAAUAGCAAUACAUUGUGCUUGAUUAAAACUCACUGUCAGAACCGACAUUCACAACAGACUCCCCCAGGUAGGAGGCCCUGGAGUGCGCAUCCCCGUAAGGUCAGGGGGAGCAAACUGGCCUCUAAGGAGAUCCCCUGCACCUCCUUCAGCCUGGCCAAAUUCAAAUGUCUGACAGCACCAGGUGUGGACAAGGAUGUUGUCACUGGCGCUGACCAGCAUUGUUGGUAAGAAUGGAGAUGAUUCACCUCUCUGGGAAAGAGUUUGGUUAAACAUCCACAAUUACACCCCUGGGCAUCUAGAGACGGCAUGGGCCCUGCAAAGUCUUGUUCAAAGACUUAAAACCUGCAAGUGAUGCUCCGGCAGUGCCUGGGGAAUGUGUCCCUGUGAACUGGUGCACUGGGUGUGUCCAUGUGCUGUACGUAUCACGUGUUCUUACAGUGGAAAACUAUUCAGAAAUAAAG
rnacentral:lncRNA from 1 species